rnacentral:rRNA from 1 species
GAUGAACGCUGGCGGCGUGCCUAAUACAUGCAAGUCGAGCGAACGGACGAGAAGCUUGCUUCUCUGAUGUUAGCGGCGGACGGGUGAGUAACACGUGGAUAACCUACCUAUAAGACUGGGAUAACUUCGGGAAACCGGAGCUAAUACCGGAUAAUAUUUUGAACCGCAUGGUUCAAAAGUGAAAGACGGUCUUGCUGUCACUUAUAGAUGGAUCCGCGCUGCAUUAGCUAGUUGGUAAGGUAACGGCUUACCAAGGCAACGAUGCAUAGCCGACCUGAGAGGGUGAUCGGCCACACUGGAACUGAGACACGGUCCAGACUCCUACGGGAGGCAGCAGUAGGGAAUCGUCCGCAAUGGGCGAAAGCCUGACGGAGCCACGCCGCGUGAGUGAUGAAGGUCUUCGGAUCGUAAAACUCUGUUAUUAGGGAAGAACAUAUGUGUAAGUAACUGUGAACAUCUUGACGGUACCUAAUCAGAAAGCCACGGCUAACUCCGUG